AGAGUUUGAUCCUGGCUCAGGAUGAACGCUGGCGGCGUGCCUAACACAUGCAAGUCGAACGAAGCACCUUUUAAGAUUCUUCGGAUGAUUGAUCGGUGACUGAGUGGCGGACGGGUGAGUAACGCGUGGGUAACCUGCCCUGUACAGGGGGAUAACAGUUGGAAACGGCUGCUAAUACCGCAUAAGCGCACGAGAGGACAUCCUCUUGUGUGAAAAACUCCGGUGGUACAGGAUGGGCCCGCGUCUGAUUAGCUGGUUGGCAGGGUAACGGCCUACCAAGGCGACGAUCAGUAGCCGGUCUGAGAGGAUGAACGGCCACAUUGGAACUGAGACACGGUCCAAACUCCUACGGGAGGCAGCAGUGGGGAAUAUUGCACAAUGGGGGAAACCCUGAUGCAGCAACGCCGCGUGAGUGAAGAAGUAUUUCGGUAUGUAAAGCUCUAUCAGCAGGGAAGAUAAUGACGGUACCUGACUAAGAAGCUCCGGCUAAAUACGUGCCAGCAGCCGCGGUAAUACGUAUGGAGCAAGCGUUAUCCGGAUUUACUGGGUGUAAAGGGUGCGUAGGUGGCAGUGCAAGUCAGAUGUGAAAGGCCGGGGCUCAACCUCGGAGCUGCAUUUGAAACUGCUCGGCUAGAGUACAGGAGAGGCAGGCGGAAUUCCUAGUGUAGCGGUGAAAUGCGUAGAUAUUAGGAGGAACACCAGUGGCGAAGGCGGCCUGCUGGACUGUUACUGACACUGAGGCACGAAAGCGUGGGGAGCAAACAGGAUUAGAUACCCUGGUAGUCCACGCUGUAAACGAUGA
rnacentral:rRNA from 1 species